GAUAACAAAACCAAAACAAGCCUCAAAACCCAAAACAAGGCGAAACUCCAUCUCUCCAGAGGAAAAUUCCCCUGAUUCUGAUGAUGAUGAUGACUAUAGUCCAAGUUACUAUCCGACAACAAUCGAAACAACCAUGAGGAUUAUCCAACCAAACAAUGGACAUUCAGAUGCAAACACUACAAAUGUUGAGUUAUCUGAAAAUAUAUCCAAGAACUUACCACCUGAAAUCCUGGAUCAACCUGUGGAAAAACAAAAUACAAACCUGGAUGGACACUUACCGGAUGUGACACACAAUGAACUGGAACCUGAAAAUGGGAAAGAAAAUGAAACCACUGAAAUGGAACAUGACAUAACAGACGAUUCUUCUCAACCCAAAACCUCAGAGAGAGUUGAAGAGUCUACUGAAAAGAGUCAGACCCCCGGAAUGGACGAAACUGAACAAGAUGCCAGAGACUCAGAUCUAGCUGAUCCUGAUAACCCUAACAAUCAUACUGCAGACCAAAUUCGCAGAUCUGAACGGUUGAGAAAACCACCUGUUAAGUUUACAUACCCACAGCUUGGUAAACCCUUGAUUUCAUUUGCACAAACUAUACUUGAUGGGUUUAACAAAGCUUUAGUGGAAACUUUUGAAGGUGCCCCUACCCUUGUAAGCACAUGAAGGGACUCAUGUUAAUUAAGAGGGGGAGGGUGUAACCCGCCUAAAAGUGGGUUAAAGUAAUGAUUUAUGUCCUUUUCUUAUCAUUAUUUUUUUUAAUUUCAUGAUUGUGAAUACUUGUGUGUUUUUAUUUUGAAAACCGGGACUUUAUUUGGUAAAACCGGAAGUAAUGCGCAAAGAUACCUGCAGUAGCUUAACAUCGAAAAUGCGCAAACGAGACUCUGGUGUUGUUUCCCUCGUGGAAACAGGAGAGUGAGAGAAAAAGAAGUUGGAGAGUCUCCGAAGAGCCACCUUAACUGUUCCAGACUCCUCUGUAGAAACCCCCAUUGGUCAGGUCUUUUCAUAUUGGUUGGAAAAAAAACUUGAUGAAGCUUCAGUCCUUGUGUCGACGAGAUUAACCAGCGAGCAGUAGAUGGCGAGCCUCCCAGCAGAACUCUGAUCAUCAUCGCCACAUCCUUCAGCUGAGGUUGUGGUAGGAUUGUGCCAAUCCCAAGAAUUGACACCAACAGGAGCCACACUGAAUACACUCUUGACUUGACUAUUUUACCCUGACUUAUCUGACUUGAACUUUGGAUCCAUAACAAACAAUUCUGAACCAAAACCUUUGGAAGGACAAUUUAUUUUAUUUUAUUGUUAAAGGGCCCAUAGGCAUUGUUAUUUGUGCACUGUUCAAAUAAUUUUAGAACUAAACGUUGUUUUUCGUAACCUA